rnacentral:rRNA from 1 species
AACGCUAGCUACAGGCUUAACACAUGCAAGUCGAGGGGCAGCGCAGUGUAGCAAUACAUGGGCGGCGACCGGCGCACGGGUGCGUAACGCGUAUCCAACCUUCCCGUUACUCAGGGAUAGCCUUCCGAAAGGGAGAUUAAUACCUGAUGGUGUUGAAAUUCCGCAUGUUAUUUCAACUAAAGAUUUAUCGGUAACGGAUGGGGAUGCGUGACAUUAGGUAGAUGGCGGGGUAACGGCCCACCAUGCCUACGAUGUCUAGGGGUUCUGAGAGGAAGGUCCCCCACACUGGAACUGAGACACGGUCCAGACUCCUACGGGAGGCAGCAGUGAGGAAUAUUGGUCAAUGGCCGGAAGGCUGAACCAGCCAAGUAGCGUGAAGGAUGAAGGUUCUAUGGAUUGUAAACUUCUUUUAUACGGGAAUAAAACGUCCCACGUGUGGGAUCUUGUAUGUACCGUAUGAAUAAGCAUCGGCUAACUCCGUGCCAGCAGCCGCGGUAAUACGGAGGAUGCGAGCGUUAUCCGGAUUUAUUGGGUUUAAAGGGAGCGUAGACGGGGGAUUAAGUCAGUUGUGAAAGGCUGCGGCUCAACCGCAGCACUGCAGUUGAUACUGGUUCCCUUGAGUGCGGUUGAGGUAUGUGGAAUUCGUGGUGUAGCGGUGAAAUGCUUAGAUAUCACGAAGAACUCCGAUUG